rnacentral:rRNA from 1 species
UACGUAGGUGGCGAGCGUUGUCCGGAAUUACUGGGUGUAAAGGGCGUGUAGGCGGGGGUACAAGUCUGAUGUGAAAUACCGUGGCUUAACCACGGGGCUGCAUCUGAAACUGUAUUUCUUGAGUGACGGAGAGGAAAGUGGAAUUCCCAGUGUAGCGGUGAAAUGCGUAGAUAUUGGGAGGAACACCAGUGGCGAAGGCGACUUUCUGGACGAUAACUGACGCUGAGGCGCGAAAGCGUGGGGAGCAAACAGG